rnacentral:rRNA from 1 species
UACGUAGGGUCCGAGCGUUGUCCGGAAUUAUUGGGCGUAAAGGGCUCGUAGGCGGUUUGUCGCGUCGGGAGUGAAAACUCAGGGCUCAACCCUGAGCGUGCUUCCGAUACGGGCAGACUAGAGGUAUGCAGGGGAGAACGGAAUUCCUGGUGUAGCGGUGGAAUGCGCAGAUAUCAGGAGGAACACCGGUGGCGAAGGCGGUUCUCUGGGCCGUAACUGACGCUGAGGAGCGAAAGCAUGGGGAGCGAACAGG